rnacentral:rRNA from 1 species
CUAAGAGCGAAUGGUGGAUGCCUUGACUGGUAAAGGCGAUGAAGGACGUACUAGACUGCGAUAAGCUACGGGGAGCUGUCAAGAAGCUUUGAUCCGUAGAUUUCCGAAUGGGGCAACCCAAUGUAUAGAGAUAUACAUUACCUAUAUAGGAGCGAACGAGGGGAAUUGAAACAUCUUAGUACCCUCAGGAAAAGAAAUCAAUAGAGAUUGCGUCAGUAGCGGCGAGCGAAAGCGCAAGAGGGCAAACCCAGUGCUUGCACUGGGGGUUGUAGGACUGCAAUGUGCAAGAGGUGAGUUUAGCAGAACAUUCUGGAAAGUAUAGCCAUAGAGGGUGAUAGUCCCGUAUGCGAAAAACAAACCUUAGCUAGCAGUAUCCUGAGUAGGGCGGGACACGAGAAAUCCUGUCUGAAGCUGGGUCGACCACGAUCCAACCCUAAAUACUAAUACCAGAUCGAUAGUGCACAAGUACCGUGAGGGAAAGGUGAAAAGAACUGAGGUGAUCAGAGUGAAAUAGAACCUGAAACCAUUUGCUUACAAUCAUUCAGAGCCCUAUGUAGCAAUACAGGGUGAUGGACUGCCUUUUGCAUAAUGAGCCUGCGAGUUGUGGUGUCUGGCAAGGUUAAGCAAACGCGAAGCCGUAGCGAAAGCGAGUCUGAAUAGGGCGCUUAGUCAGAUGCUGCAGACCCGAAACGAAGUGAUCUAUCCAUGAGCAAGUUGAAGCUAGUGUAAGAACUAGUGGAGGACUGAACCCAUAGGCGUUGAAAAGCCCCGGGAUGACUUGUGGAUAGGGGUGAAAGGCCAAUCAAACUUCGUGAUAGCUGGUUCUCUCCGAAAUAUAUUUAGGUAUAGCGUUGUGUCGUAAUAUAAGGGGGUAGAGCACUGAAUGGGCUAGGGCAUACACCAAUGUACCAAACCCUAUCAAACUCCGAAUACCUUAUAUGUAAUCACAGCAGUCAGGCGGCGAGUGAUAAAAUCCGUCGUCAAGAGGGAAACAACCCAGACUACCAGCUAAGGUCCCUAAAUCUUACUUAAGUGGAAAACGAUGUGAAGUUACUUAAACAACCAGGAGGUUGGCUUAGAAGCAGCCAUCCUUUAAAGAAAGCGUAAUAGCUCACUGGUCUAGUGAUUUUGCGCGGAAAAUAUAACGGGGCUAAAGUAAGUACCGAAGCUGUAGACUUGCACACAACUUAGAUUAUUUAAGUUUAGAAUAUGAGAAACUAAGUUAUAUGUUUAGUUAUAUUUUUACUGAUUUUUAUAGAGUAAAGAUAGAAAUAAAACUUAGUAAAAUCAGUAAAAAUAUUCUUAGACUAAAGUUAAGUAGUUUAAGUUGUGUGCAAGUGGUAGGAGAGCGUUCUAUUUGCGUCGAAGGUAUACCGGUAAGGAGUGCUGGAGCGAAUAGAAGUGAGCAUGCAGGCAUGAGUAGCGAUAAUUAAUGUGAGAAUCAUUAACGCCGUAAACCCAAGGUUUCCUACGCGAUGCUCGUCAUCGUAGGGUUAGUCGGGUCCUAAGUCGAGUCCGAAAGGGGUAGACGAUGGCAAAUUGGUUAAUAUUCCAAUACCAACAUUAGUGUGCGAUGGAAGGACGCUUAGGGCUAAGGGGGCUAGCGGAUGGAAGUGCUAGUCUAAGGUCGUAGGAGGUUAUACAGGCAAAUCCGUAUAACAAUACUCCGAGAACUGAAAGGCUUUUUGAAGUCUUCGGAUGGAUAGAAGAACCCCUGAUGCCGUCGAGCCAAGAAAAGUUUCUAAGUUUAGCUAAUGUUGCCCGUACCGUAAACCGACACAGGUGGGUGGGAUGAGUAUUCUAAGGCGCGUGGAAGAACUCUCUUUAAGGAACUCUGCAAAAUAGCACCGUAUCUUCGGUAUAAGGUGUGGUUCGCUUCGUAUUAGGAUUUACUCCGAAAGCGAAGAAACUUACAACAAAGAGUCCCUCCCGACUGUUUACCAAAAACACAGCACUCUGCUAACUCGUAAGAGGAUGUAUAGGGUGUGACGCCUGCCCGGUGCUCGAAGGUUAAUUGAUGGGGUUAGCAUUAGCGAAGCUCUUGAUCGAAGCCCGAGUAAACGGCGGCCGUAACUAUAACGGUCCUAAGGUAGCGAAAUUCCUUGUCGGUUAAAUACCGACCUGCAUGAAUGGCGUAACGAGAUGGGAGCUGUCUCAAAGAGGGAUCCAGUGAAAUUGUAGUGGAGGUGAAAAUUCCUCCUACCCGCGGCAAGACGGAAAGACCCCGUGGACCUUUACUACAGCUUGACACUGCUAUUUGGAUAAGAAUGUGCAGGAUAGGUGGGAGGCUUUGAGUAUAUGACGCCAGUUGUAUAUGAGCCAUUGUUGAGAUACCACUCUUUCUUAUUUGGGUAGCUAACCAGCUUGAGUUAUCCUCAAGUGGGACAAUGUCUGGUGGGUAGUUUGACUGGGGCGGUCGCCUCCCAAAUAAUAACGGAGGCUUACAAAGGUUGGCUCAGAACGGUUGGAAAUCGUUCGUAGAGUAUAAAGGUAUAAGCCAGCUUAACUGCAAGACAUACAAGUCAAGCAGAGACGAAAGUCGGUCUUAGUGAUCCGGUGGUUCUGUGUGGAAGGGCCAUCGCUCAAAGGAUAAAAGGUACCCCGGGGAUAACAGGCUGAUCUCCCCCAAGAGCUCACAUCGACGGGGAGGUUUGGCACCUCGAUGUCGGCUCAUCGCAUCCUGGGGCUGGAGCAGGUCCCAAGGGUAUGGCUGUUCGCCAUUUAAAGCGGUACGCGAGCUGGGUUCAGAACGUCGUGAGACAGUUCGGUCCCUAUCUGCCGUGGGCGUAAGAAGAUUGAAGAGAUUUGACCCUAGUACGAGAGGACCGGGUUGAACAAACCACUGGUGUAGCUGUUGUUCUGCCAAGAGCAUCGCAGCGUAGCUAAGUUUGGAAAGGAUAAACGCUGAAAGCAUCUAAGCGUGAAGCCAACUCUAAGAUGAAUCUUCUCUAAGCUCUCUAGAAGACUACUAGUUUGAUAGGCUGGGUGUGUAAUGGAUGAAAGUCCUUUAGCUGACCAGUACUAAUAGAGCGUUUGGCUUAUCU